GGGCCUGUGGCGCAAUGGACAGCGCACCCGGCUUCGGACCGGGCGGUUGCGGGUUCGAAUCCCGUCAGGCUCA
rnacentral:tRNA from 1 species